rnacentral:rRNA from 1 species
CUUAACACAUGCAAGUCGAGGGGCAGCAUGGUCUUAGCUUGCUAAGGCCGAUGGCGACCGGCGCACGGGUGAGUAACACGUAUCCAACCUGCCGUCUACUCUUGGACAGCCUUCUGAAAGGAAGAUUAAUACAAGAUGGCAUCAUGAGUCCGCAUGUUCACAUGAUUAAAGGUAUUCCGGUAGACGAUGGGGAUGCGUUCCAUUAGAUAGUAGGCGGGGUAACGGCCCACCUAGUCUUCGAUGGAUAGGGGUUCUGAGAGGAAGGUCCCCCACAUUGGAACUGAGACACGGUCCAAACUCCUACGGGAGGCAGCAGUGAGGAAUAUUGGUCAAUGGGCGAGAGCCUGAACCAGCCAAGUAGCGUGAAGGAUGACUGCCCUAUGGGUUGUAAACUUCUUUUAUAAAGGAAUAAAGUCGGGUAUGGAUACCCGUUUGCAUGUACUUUAUGAAUAAGGAUCGGCUAACUCCGUGCCAGCAGCCGCGGUAAUACGGAGGAUCCGAGCGUUAUCCGGAUUUAUUGGGUUUAAAGGGAGCGUAGAUGGAUGUUUAAGUCAGUUGUGAAAGUUUGCGGCUCAACCGUAAAAUUGCAGUUGAUACUGGAUAUCUUGAGUGCAGUUGAGGCAGGCGGAAUUCGUGGUGUAGCGGUGAAAUGCUUAGAUAUCACGAAGAACUCCGAUUGCGAAGGCAGCCUGCUAAGCUGCAACUGACAUUGAGGCUCGAAAGUGUGGGUAUCAAACAGGAUUAGAUACCCUGGUAGUCCACACGGUAAACGAUGAAUACUCGCUGUUUGCGAUAUACUGCAAGCGGCCAAGCGAAAGCGUUAAGUAUUCCACCUGGGGAGUACGCCGGCAACGGUGAAACUCAAAGGAAUUGACGGGGGCCCGCACAAGCGGAGGAACAUGUGGUUUAAUUCGAUGAUACGCGAGGAACCUUACCCGGGCUUAAAUUGCAGAUGAAUUACGGUGAAAGCCGUAAGCCGCAAGGCAUCUGUGAAGGUGCUGCAUGGUUGUCGUCAGCUCGUGCCGUGAGGUGUCGGCUUAAGUGCCAUAACGAGCGCAACCCUUGUUGUCAGUUACUAACAGGUUCCGCUGAGGACUCUGACAAGACUGCCAUCGUAAGAUGUGAGGAAGGUGGGGAUGACGUCAAAUCAGCACGGCCCUUACGUCCGGGGCUACACACGUGUUACAAUGGGGGGUACAGAGGGCCGCUACCACGCGAGUGGAUGCCAAUCCCCAAAACCUCUCUCAGUUCGGACUGGAGUCUGCAACCCGACUCCACGAAGCUGGAUUCGCUAGUAAUCGCGCAUCAGCCACGGCGCGGUGAAUACGUUCCCGGGCCUUGUACACACCGCCCGUCAAGCCAUGGGAGCCGGGGGUACCUGAAGUGCGUAACCGCGAGGAGCGCCCUAGGGUAAAACUGGUGACUGGGGCUAAGUC